GAUGAACGCUGGCGGCGUGCUUAACACAUGCAAGUCGAACGGAUUUUAAGGAGCUUGCUCCUUAAAGUUAGUGGCGGACGGGUGAGUAACGCGUGGGUAACCUACCCUAUAGAGGGGGAUAACGUUUGGAAACGAACGCUAAUACCGCAUAAACUAUGGAUGUUCGCAUGAACAUUAUAGCAAAGAUUUAUCGCUAUAGGAUGGACCCGCGUUGGAUUAGCUAGUUGGUGAGAUAAUAGCCCACCAAGGCAACGAUCUAUAGCCGGCCUGAGAGGGUGAACGGCCACAUUGGGACUGAGACACGGCCCAAACUCCUACGGGUGGCAG
rnacentral:rRNA from 1 species